GGGUCAUAACUCAGUGGAAGAACAUCUGCUUUGCACGCAGAAUGUCCCAGGUUCAAACCCCAGCAUCUCCA